rfam:Lepisosteus oculatus linkage group LG5, whole genome shotgun sequence.
GCAGUGUGAGGUAGUAGAUUGUAUAGUUGUAGGGUAGUGAUUUUGCCCUCUUUGGAAGAUAACUAUACAAUCUAUUGCCUUCCCUGA